GGUGAACGCUGGCGGCGUGCUUAAGACAUGCAAGUCGAACGCAGUCUUCGGACUGAGUGGCGCACGGGUGAGUAACACGUAACUGACCUACCCCCAAGUCGCGGAUAACUGGCCGAAAGGUCAGCUAAUACGUGAUGUGAUGUCCCCUUUCUGGGGGGCCAUUAAAGGUUUACUGCUUGGGGAUGGGGUUGCGUUCCAUCAGCUAGUUGGCGGGGUAAAGGCCCACCAAGGCAACGACGGAUAGCCGGCCUGAGAGGGUGGCCGGCCACAGGGGCACUGAGACACGGGUCCCACUCCUACGGGAGGCAGCAGUUAGGAAUCUUCCACAAUGGGCGAAAGCCUGAUGGAGCGACGCCGCGUGAGGGAUGAAGGUUCUCGGAUCGUAAACCUCUGAAUCAGGGACGAAAGACGCGUAAGCGGGAUGACGGUACCUGAGUAAUAGCACCGGCUAACUCCGUGCCAGCAGCCGCAGUAACAC
rnacentral:rRNA from 1 species